GAUGAACGCUGGCGGCGUGCCUAAUACAUGCAAGUCGAGCGAACAGACGAGGAGCUUGCUCCUCUGACGUUAGCGGCGGACGGGUGAGUAACACGUGGAUAACCUACCUAUAAGACUGGGAUAACUUCGGGAAACCGGAGCUAAUACCGGAUAAUAUAUUGAACCGCAUGGUUCAAUAGUGAAAGACGGUUUUGCUGUCACUUAUAGAUGGAUCCGCGCCGCAUUAGCUAGUUGGUAAGGUAACGGCUUACCAAGGCAACGAUGCGUAGCCGACCUGAGAGGGUGAUCGGCCACACUGGAACUGGGACGCGGUCCAGACUCCUACGGGAGGCAGCAGUAGGGAAUCUUCCGCAAUGGGCGAAAGCUUGACGGAGCAACGCCGCGUGAGUGAUGAAGGUCUUCGGAUCGUAAAACUCUGUUAUUAGGGAAGAACAAAUGUGUAAGUAACUAUGCACGUCUUGACGGUACCUAAUCAGAAAGCCACGGCUAACUACGUG
rnacentral:rRNA from 1 species